GGGCCCGCACAAGCGGUGGAGCAUGUGGUUUAAUUCGAUGAUACGCGAGGAACCUUACCAGGGCUUAAAUGGGAGAUGACAGGGCAGAGACGCCCUUUUCUUCGGACAUCUUUCAAGGUGCUGCAUGGUUGUCGUCAGCUCGUGCCGUGAGGUGUCAGGUUAAGUCCUAUAACGAGCGCAACCCCUACCGUUAGUUGCCAGCGAUUCAAGUCGGGGACUCUAACGGGACUGCCGGUGCAAACCGUGAGGAAGGUGGGGACGACGUCAAAUCAUCACGGCCCUUACGUCCUGGGCUACACACGUGCUACAAUGGUCGGUACAGAGGGAAGCUACCCCGUAAGGGGAUGCGGAUCUAUAAAACCGAUCUCAGUCCGGAUCGAAGUCUGCAACUCGACUUCGUGAAGUCGGAAUC
rnacentral:rRNA from 1 species